rnacentral:rRNA from 1 species
AACGAACGCUGGCGGCAGGCCUAACACAUGCAAGUCGAGCGAGAUCUUCGGAUCUAGCGGCGGACGGGUGAGUAACGCGUGGGAAUAUGCCCAAAGGUACGGAAUAGCCUCGGGAAACUGGGAGUAAUACCGUAUGUGCCCUUCGGGGGAAAGAUUUAUCGCCUUUUGGAUUAGCCCGCGUUGGAUUAGGUAGUUGGUGGGGGUAAUGGCCUACCCAAGCCGACGAUCCAUAGCUGGUUUGAGAGGAUGAUCAGCCACACUGGGACUGAGACACGGCCCAGACUCCUACGGGAGGCAGCAGUGGGGAAUCUUAGACAAUGGGGGAAACCCUGAUCUAGCCAUGCCGCGUGAGCGAUGAAGGCCUUAGGGUUGUAAAGCUCUUUCAGCUGGGAAGAUAAUGACGGUACCCGCAGAAGAAGCUCCGGCUAACUUCGUG